UACGAAGGGGGCUAGCGUUGUUCGGAGUUACUGGGCGUAAAGGGCGCGUAGGCGGCGCAUCAAGUCAGGCGUGAAAGCCCUGGGCUCAACCCGGGAAUUGCGCUUGAGACUGGUGUGCUUGAGUACGGGAGAGGAUAGUGGAAUUCCCAGUGUAGAGGUGAAAUUCGUAGAUAUUGGGAAGAACACCAGUGGCGAAGGCGGUUCUCUGGGCCUUGCCUGACGCUGAGGAGCGAAAGCGUGGGGAGCGAACAGG
rnacentral:rRNA from 1 species